rnacentral:rRNA from 1 species
UACGAAGGGGGCUAGCGUUGCUCGGAAUCACUGGGCGUAAAGGGUGCGUAGGCGGGUCUUUAAGUCAGGGGUGAAAUCCUGGAGCUCAACUCCAGAACUGCCUUCGAUACUGGAAGACUCGAGUCCGGGAGAGGUGAGUGGAACUGCGAGUGUAGAGGUGAAAAUUCGUAGAUAUUCGCAAGAACACCAGUGGCGAAGGCGGCCUGCUGGGCAGUUACUGACACUGAGGCGCGACAGCGUGGGGAGCAAACAGG